CUCCCGGAUUGGGAGCCUGGUACCGGCAACGGCACCGAGCUCUUGAGAAGUUGGGCAAACUUGGUCAUUUAGAGGAAGUAAAAGUCGUAACAAGGUAACCGUAGGUGAACCUGCGGUUGGAUCAUUA
rnacentral:rRNA from 1 species